rnacentral:rRNA from 1 species
ACGGGGCGCAGCAGGCGCGAAAACUCCACAAUGCGCGAAAGCGUGAUGGGGUUACCCCGAGUGCCUUCCGAUGAGGAGGGCUUUUACUCAGUGUAAGGAGCUGGGGGAAUAAAGGGGGGGCAAGACUGGUGUCAGCCGCCGCGGUAAUACCAGCCCCCUGAGUGAUAGGGGCGAUUGUUAAGCCUAAAGCGUUCGUAGCCGGCUUGGAAAGUCUUUCGUUAAAUCUGACGAUUUAAUCGUUAGGACGCGGGAGAUACUGCCAGGCUAGAGGGCGGGAGAGGUUGACGGUAGUCCCGGGGUAGGGGUGAAAUCCUAUAAUCCCGGGAGGACCACCAGUGGCGAAGGCGCUCAACUAGAACGCGCCUGACGGUGAGGGACGAAAGCUGGGGGAGCGAACCGGAUUAGACACCCGGGUAGUCCCAGCCGUAAACGAUGCGAGCUAGGUGUUGGGUCAGCUACGAGCUGCCCCGGUGCCGCAGAGAAGUCGUUAAGCUCGCCGUUUGGGAAGUACGGCCGCAAGGCUGAAACUUAAAGGAAUUGGCGGGGGAGCAC